GCAAGUCGAGCGCGCCUUUCGGGGCGAGCGGCGGACGGGUUAGUAACGCGUGGGAAUAUACCCUUCUCUAAGGAAUAGCCUCUGGAAACGGAGAGUAAUACCUUAUACGCCCUUCGGGGGAAAGAUUUAUCGGAGAAGGAUUAGCCCGCGUAAGAUUAGAUAGUUGGUGGGGUAAUGGCCUACCAAGUCUACGAUCUUUAGCUGGUUUGAGAGGAUGAUC
rnacentral:rRNA from 1 species